rnacentral:tRNA from 1 species
AAGACACUAGUAAAACAGCCAUUACACCAUCUUGUCAAGGUAGAGUUGUAGGUUAAACCCCUGCGUGUCUUA